rnacentral:rRNA from 2 species
AGGCAGCAGUAGGGAAUUUUCCACAAUGGGCGAAAGCCUGAUGGAGCAACACAGCGUGUAGGAUGAAGGCCUUCGGGUUGUAAACUACUGUUAUAUGGGAAGAAAAACUAGUAUAGGAAAUGAUAUUAGCUUGACGGUACCAUGUCAGAAAGCAACGGCUAACUAUGUGCCAGCAGCCGCGGUAAUACAUAGGUUGCAAGCUUUAUCCGGAAUUAUUGGGCGUAAAGCGUCUGUAGGUUGUUUGUUAAGUCUGGUGUUAAAACUUGGAGCUCAACUCCAAAUUGCAUUGGAUACUGGCAGACUAGAAUUGUUUAGAGGUUAGCGGAAUUCCUUGUGAAGCGGUGGAAUGCGUAGAUAUAAGGAAGAACACCAACAUGGCGAAGGCAGCUAACUGGGAACAUAUUGACACUGAGAGACGAAAGCGUGGGGAGCAAACAGGAUUAGAUACCCUGGUAGUCCACGCUGUAAACGAUGAUGACUAGUUGAUGGAAACCAUCGACGCAGCUAACGCAUUAAGUCAUCCGCCUGAGUAGUAUGCUCGCAAGAGUGAAACUUAAAGGAAUUGACGGGGAUCCGCACAAGCGGUGGAGCAUGUGGUUUAAUUUGAGGCUACGCGUAGAACCUUACCCACUCUUGACAUCUUCUGCAAAGCUAUAGAGAUAUAGUGGAGGUUAACAGAAUGACAGAUGGUGCAUGGUUGUCGUCAGC